rnacentral:lncRNA from 1 species
UGGGCUUAACCCUGCCGCUCCCGCGUGCGGCUGCGCCAGCCCGGACGCCCGACUCGAGCCCGAGGCGGGGGAGGGGAGCCCAGGGACCAGGUGGGAGGGAAGAGAGCGAAAGGAAUUCUCUGUUCGCACCUUCCCUGGGACCCCAAAUGUCGCCCUAUGGCCAAACCCUUGGUUUUUUGGAGUUUCGGGACGGGAAAGAUCGCCAAAGAGAAGUCUCCUCAAACUUCUCAACCACUUUCCGUCUUCUAGGGAAGCCACAAGACUUUCUAGAGGAAAGGGGUGGGGAAAACUGUCCUCGGAAGAAGUCCCAACAAACAACGAGGACACAAAGGCUCCCUCACGCCGCCGCCCCAGCCCUUCGGAACCCAGGGGACCGAGUGGCAGUGGAAAAGUGUGAAAAGCCCCGAAAUCCCUGGAAGGGUGUCCGUAGCUUGUCCGGGGCGGCCUCGCCGCCCCCCCCCCCGGGCCUCUGCAGGGCGCCUGGCCCUCGGUGACCUCAGCGGAGACCGCGGGCCUCGCGGCGGAAAGCGAAGGCGGGUCCGCGGUCCGAAAGCGCCGCGACACACCCGCCCCAAUGGCCCGCGUAGAAACUCCGGCCUGACCCUGAGAGGCGGCCGGGCCAACUCCGGCUGACGACGCCGCCCGUGGGCCUGGGGUGCAGAGUCACCCGCCACCCUCCGCCGCGUCAAGGCAGCCCACCCGUGGGGUCCCUGGGCCACAGGAGGGCCUCUGCUCCUGGCCUCCCCUGCAGGAUUUAGGGCAGUAGGACUUGGCCGCGUCCAAUACCCAGUCCCUUCCGUCCAGCCACCGGCCUCGGGAAGUUCCCCACCCCAAGCUGCGACAAAGCCAAGAAGGAGUGGGCGACCGCGCUGGAGGGAGCCCAAGGCGGCGGGGCAGAGGCCAGAUAUUCCCUGGCCAUAGAUCCAUCCGGGAUGGGACACGGAUCCUCUCUCGCAGGCAUUUAUUUAUUCAGCAGCUACUACGUGCUGAUCUGCACUGAGGAAGGGCCGGACGUCGGACUCCGGAUAGGAUCACGCCGGGAGCAGCAGGACUGCUGGGCCUGGACUCCGAGCACUGUGUCCCCAGCCCAAAAAUUCCUUUCCUGCCUGGUCUAUACCACGGUUCUCCAUUCAUAUUCUUCCGGGUUUCUAAGCAAAUUCUUUUAAAACACGGAGCCUUGAGGAAAGCAGGCCCUGGAACGCAAUCAUUCACCUCUUGGUGUGCAUUCGCUUAAUUUUGUCUGCUAAUAUAUAAUGACUUCCCACCUGUGCAGGACUCAGGGCUGGGCAGGGGCUAUUAUAGGGUUUGCCUCUGUUCCGGGAUUCACAGGCCCGCGAGUGUUGAAGCGAAUUGAUACCGCACAGGAGAAUUGAUACUGGAAGGUGCAGGAGGAGGGUGCUGGCUAAGGGCGGAGGCUCAGACUUGGAGAGGGCGCUGGGCUUGACUUCUCUCCUUGAAGGGGAAAAGGCCAUCUCUUCUGUACCUGGAGCAGUCUAGGCGGGGAGCAGAAAUUUAAACCGCCAGAAACUCUGAAAAGCUUGGAGGACCUGGGAGGGAGCAACCAGACUGUGAGCCAGAGGUAGUGAAGGUUAGCAUAGAAGAGGAAUUCGCUCUCUUUGGCGCUUUUUCUUUUUAGAUCUUCCUUUACACCAAGGCCUUUGGAAGCUAGGCUUUGCGCUUAGUAAAGAGAACCGCCCGCCCACCCACCUCAUAACCUGUAUUCUGCCCCGCUCCAUUAAUCAAGAAAUGAUCUCUCAAGGUCCUAGUCAGUGGAAUGAGACAGCCUGGUGGUUAGUCUUAAGGUUGGACUUUUGAAUGCUGAAAAAACAAAAAACAAACAGGGCUUGUCUAAAAUUAAUCUCUCACAAUACUGAGGGGAUGUGUUUUGUUUUGGAUUGCUUUAAAUGGGUCCACUUGCAUGGCCAAAAUUUGCUGUGUGGUAUACUAACACCAUUAAUCCUCAACCAAACCAAGCCAUUGUUAUUUAAAACUUGCUUCCUGGCUUUUCUCCCCCCCCCCCAACAGUUUAAAGACAUUUAUUAUGCUAAAAUAUUAACGUCCUACGUUUAAAAACAACACCACCACAUUAGAGUAAUACACUUUGCAGUUGCCAUAACUUAACUCAUUUCACUGGGAUGAACUACUGCACAGUAGUUUCCAGCAUAGUUUCAAAUUUGGUAAACUCUCAGCUAAAUAUUAUUACCUAAUUUCUAUAACAAAUGAAGAAUCCAAAAAGCCCACAACAUUAAAUGGCAUUUAUUGUUCCAUAAAUCUUCAGACUUCAAAAAGAAAUGCUAAGUGGACAAAACUCUAAAGCAAGGAAGAGACAAGCUCACUUCUCUCCCACUGAUAGGCGCAGGAAACAUUUGAUCAUACAAAAGCAGUUAAAGGCAGAAAGGAGAGCUGCUGCUCUACAGCCAUUCUUGUUUUGAUCUCCUUUGAACUCUGCUGUUCUGAUUUCACCUAAUCUAUGCAGGAGCAUCCCCUUAGAGAAUUCCUAAUGGUUAGGAUAAUGAAAUUUCAUCAGUAUUCAUAUCUGUAAAAAUAAAUAAAUGUAAAAAUUAUCCCCAUUUAGAUUUUAUUUGGGCUCCCCAUGAUCCUUGGCAAAGAAGUAUGACACAUCUACUGUUUAGGAUGUCAGAUUAUCAAGUUCUGGUCAAUGACAAAUCUAUUCUCUGACCCUCAAAUUUUCCUUUUCUCCUACCUUUACCCUCAAAUUUUCCUUUUCUCCUACCUCUCCAGUGGUAAUAGUCUGUGGUGAUAAGAUGUUAUAAACAAAGCUUCUACAGUCAAUAUCCUAAUCCUAGGUGGCCAGAAAAUUAGCAAUAUAAAAAUUAGGAUUAGAAAGUGAAAAAUAUUUCAAAAGAUCAUCUAGUUGUACCCAAAUUUAAAAUAUACAUUCCUUUACUCCAGCAAUGUAAUGAUUUUACCUCUGGAUAUGAAAAUUCCUCAGUGUCUUCAAAGGAUGUUCAUUGCAGUGUGUUUAAUAAGAUCAAAACUGGAAAAACCACCAGUGGCCAUUAGUAAAGUGCUGAUUAAAUGAAGUAUAAAUUACCCAUGCUCAGCAAGCAUUUAAAAAGCAUUAAAUAUAUUAAAUAAGGAAAGAUGUCCAGGAUAUAUUAAGUGAAAAAAGCAAGGUGCAAAUAGACACUGCUCACUGCCAGUUAACUUUAGUAUAGAGUUACAAUCCGAUUCUGGAGGUCAGGCCAACCAUAAAAUGUAAAGAUGACAGUCUCCUAUACACUUACUUUGUGUCAAAGGAAUAGCACAGUAAAGGAGGGAAUUUUUAUAGAGGAUGGGAACUAUCAGGGAGGUCCCAUCAAAGAAGUUUACAUGAAGUAAAUGAUCAGUAAGGAAAAGGGAUGGGGUAGAGGCGAACACAGACAUAAUCCCAAAUUAACAGGCCAGGCAGGGCAUGCUUAUGGAAAGAAAAGGACAUACAAAGUUCAAAGAUGAUUCUGGCAUGAAGGAACACAAGACUGGCUGGAGCCAUCUAGUUAAGGAGGUUGUAGUGAUAGUAUAGGUAUGAGAUAGAUAAGGGCUGGGAUUAGAAAUAAAGCAAUGAGGAUGAAAAGGAAUGAUCUGGCAAGAAUUUGUGACUGAUUAGAUUAAGAAGGGAGCAGUGAAUAGACUAGAAGCAGGAAUCUGGGAUGAGUCCAAGAUUUUAGACUGUGGAAACAGAUUCAAAGAACUGGAAAAAAAUGAGGAAGUCCAAAGGGGGAUCUGAUAUAGGGUUUAGUUUUAGAAAUUAGAGAUACCCAGCAGAAAGUUAAAGGUCAGGACUAAAACUCAAACAACAGGUCAGGACUGCAAAUACAUGUUGGAUGUCAUCAUCGGAAGUUGGUAGAGGACUGAGGCUUCAGAACUGAAUCUUAGGAAGGUAAUGUUAAUGCAAGUAGAAGAGAAUUAAGUAACUCAUCUAUAAUCCUAUUUUUGGCCCAUAACUCUUCAGUAAUGUGAUAAGAUUUUGUUUAUUUCUUUAUGGUCUCUGUUUUCAGUGAUGUGUGUAAGAAUUAUUUGCUAGCGUGGAAACCAUCUUUGAAUGAAUUAUUGUUAUAGCCCUUAUUGUUCUGCUAGUGAGUCAACUCUGUGUAGGACAAGAUGAACUGGUUUUCAAUAUUUUAAUAUCCCUUGUUUUCUCAAGGAGAUUGGAGAUUAUAUAAGCCAGAAAUUCUAAAUAAAAAGAACAUUCCUUUUUUUCCUGAAGCAAAC